rnacentral:ncRNA from 1 species
GGUGUCAGAUGACCAGAUAAUCUCAAUACAAAAUGCCACAGAAAUCCCAAAGGCCCAAUAUAGGUGUUGACAGGAUGUGUUUUCUGCCCAGGACUCUGAAUGUCGAAGUGAAGAAAUUCAAUGACGCUUGGGUAAACAGUAGGAGUAGCUAUCACACUCUUCAUGUAGCCAAACACUUUGUCACCUAAUUAGUGACACACAUGAAUGGAUUAACAAGACUCC